rnacentral:lncRNA from 1 species
UCCACCUUCUCUUCCACAUCCCACAUCCUAAGGCUCCAUCUGAUGGCACACAAAAUAAUGGGAUGUGUGGAAACAUGUAAGAAUUUUAAGAUAAGUAAAGGAGAAGGACUCCUCUCUUUAACUCCCAAAAUAAAUGUGACGUCACAUAAUUAUUUGGCAUGGUGAAUGGCAUAGAGGUGGUGGAUUCACAUGAAACUCUUCCUUAAAAUCCAGAUAAAUCAACUAAUAAAUAGAUGGUUCAAACUCAAUCAC